CUCAUCUUGGUUUAAAAAAGCGCGCUUAAGCGCAAAAAAGCGCGCGCUUUUGGUGAAGCGCAGCUGUGGGCUUUUUUCUGGGCGAAGCGCGCUCACCUACACGAAGCGCCGAAAAGCGCACAAAAGCGCACAAAGCGCAGAAAAGCGCAAAGCGCAGAAAAGCGGGCUUUUAGUAUGUUAGGGUUAGGUUUUUAAAUUUUAAAAAAACUAGGUUUUAUUUCAUAAAAUCAAAGGUUUGCCUCCAGCGUCCAGCCGUCUUCUCCCAUCCCUCUCGCGUCCUGCCGUCGCGCGCCGCCGCCUGCCGUCGCGCGCCGCCUCCAGCCCGCCGCCGUCGUCGCCAGCUGUCCGCCGGUCAUCGUCCAAGUUGAGGAUGAGGUUGGGGAGGAGAUGGAAGAGGACAUUGGUGAAGACAAAGAUUAUGAAGGAGAUGGGGAUGAUGCACUUAAUGAUGAUGAUAUUUGAUUAGUUGCUUGAAAUUUGAUUGAACUUUUAGACUUGCGUACUUUAAACUUAAGUAUUUGUGUGUUUUAAUUUUUAAAUUAAGUAUUUGUGUGUUUAAGUA